AGACACUUGCACAUGUGAGCCUUCAUAUGAUGCAGUCCUCAGGCUUGGAGCCAGUCCAGGUAAUGGAGCAGAGACUGGAGCAGAGACAAGUUGUUCCCACUGAGCUCUCCUCAGAUUACAGAUUGGUGAUACAUCACAGGGGCUCAUGAAUGUGUCUUAAGCUGGGUCAUUGAAGUGGAAUGUUUUCACAAGACCUCCUCCACUUGCUACUGUGUCCGGAAUUGGUGGGUUCUUGGUCUCACUGACUUCAAGAAUGAAGCCGCGGACCCUCGCGGGAGUGGCAAAUCAAAGGCAUUGCAGCCUCUUUCAUCACUGCCGAUUGCUGAUGCCAACCAUGUGCCAAGUGCUUAAUACGUCACCUUAAAUCUUCUCAUCCACCCUCAGAGACAUUCUUAUUCAAAAGAAAGAACACCGAAAUUGACCUUACCCUGACAAUAUGAUGGCUGAAGGAUUUAUGAUCACUUAUAACAUUUGAAAUUGAGGCGGAACCUGAAGAAUAAGACUCUGGUGAAAGGUCCUAUUUAUGCUUUUGAUGUCUUUCACUUGGACAUUUACCACAUGCCUAUUGGUAGGUUUGUUACAUAGGUCAGUUAAGGUGAUACAAGAAUAAAUAAAACACUAUCCCUAUCCUUUAAUAUCAUUUAUUUAUGGGGUCAAUCACAGAUUUUCAUUUUUCAAAAUCUUUGAUAAAUGUCAGAAUUAUGUUUUUUAAUAUUUUUACAGAAUUAUUACAAUAUAUGGUAGAGGAUGGAAGGCAAGGUAGUAUGAAACGGAAAAGAUAUUUUGAAUUAAGGUAUUUGGACCUGGAUUAAUAUUUUUGCUUUGGUCUUUAUUAGCUGAGUGACCUUGAGAAAGUUCUUCUACUAAAAAAGAACAAAGAUAAUAAUUACUUCAUGAAAUUGCUGUAAAAAACACAUAACAAGUAUAUCCAGACUCAACAGUGUAUGCUCAAAAAUGCAGAUCCUUUUUCCCUUACCUGCAAAUAAAGUCUUACAGUAAUACAGUGGGGGUAAAGGUUUAAACUGGUGGAUUCAAGAAGGGCUAUAGAAAGAGGUAGCAUCUUAAUAGGGGAAGGAGAGGAUCCAAGAAAUCAGAUCCAUUUUCUACAAAAAGAAAUGGGAAGACAGAUAAUUCAAGAAGAAAAGUUUACAUGAUUAAAGACCCGAAGUUAGAAAUAGUGAUGUGUCUCAAUAGUAAGUUAGGAAUUGGGGUGGACACAAUUGUUGGAAGAAGGAUGGUUUCAGCAAAGGCCCAAGUUAGGUGACAAUUUCAAGUGUUUGUGAAGAUAUAUGAACAAAAUUAUAAAGUAGUUAGGGUAUAAGAAAUAGGGAGGAGGGAAUGAAUUAACAUUUAUGGAGUGUCUUGCAUGUUCCAAGCACUGUACUACUUGCCUUAUAAACCUUUCUUCAAUAAACGCCUACAACAAUCCUGAGA
rnacentral:lncRNA from 1 species